UGUCUCUUUUGUUUCAUUUUUUUUUAGUUUGAUUGUGAAGCCCCAUCUACUAACAUAUUAAAACAGUGUGCAAAAAGUGAUGUUACUAGAAUUUAUAUUCUACUUAUGUAGAACUUUCUAAUAUUUCAUCUUUCUUAGAUUUUUAAAGCAAUACAAGAUUGAAUUUAGCAGAAUGCUAAACUUUUGCUCUGGAGACAAAAAAGGAAGACAGCAAAAAUGACCAGCCAAAAUAAAGAAUAAAGAGACAAAAAAAUGUGUAUAUCUUGGUCUAGAUGAUUUAUCCUCAAUUUCUUAUAAUGAAACAAAAAAUAUUAUAAAACUUUGGGAUUUACCUGUGACUCCAAACUCUUUACAGAAGUUCAAUGUUUUCUCUGAGAAGUUGAAUGAACAAAAUUUAUUAAAUGUGCAAUCUGUAUCUUAAACAUUAACGAGAAUUGUUUUGUGUCAGUGCCAGAAAUUGAAUACACACCUGCAAAUUUCGUAAUUCAUAAAAAUAUUAUGAAUCCAUUAGCAAAUAAAGUUGUAUCCUUGAAAGAUAUGCUGGUAUUAUUGGCACAAUGGGCAAGCGUUAAAGUGCAACUUGGUGAACUACAAAACACAUCAAAUUCAGUUAUAAAAAUUUGAGUAACAAAGGUAUGCUAAUUAUUGUAUUGCCUAAAAGAGUGUCAUUGCCAUUAAAAGCAGUAAAGAAUUCAAGUACUCUCGAAAAAAAAGACAAGAAAAUACUUAAGUCAAUUAUUUGUCACAAGUUGGAGUUAAAGACGAAGGAGAUUGUAUAUGUUAUUUACUAAUAAAAUGGCCUAGCUGUAAAAUUAAACUGUGCCGGGAGAGGACAAAAAAUUGGAAUAGGAAAAAUGUUGAUUGCAUAUGUUGCUAUUGAAACUGUGAAGUUAAAUAAGCAUGGCUUAUGCAGACAUGUGAUAGAGAUAGAGGAAGA